GGUGAAUUGAAUGAAGACUCUUUUCGUUUUGAAGUUUGAAUCUAAAUCAGUCAAAUCAGACUCAUCCCUUUAAUUAAAAUGAGGGAGGUCAUUUAAGAUCAAACAAAGAGCUGAAAUAGCCUCUCACUGUUACCAAGAAGACCACAGGGUGCCUGCCAGUUUCACAGGUUAAAGACUUUUUGAAGUAAAGGGGAGCAUCUCAUCUGAACCUGAUGUCUAUCAUGGAUAUUUAACUGCAGUUCUGUGAGUAUCCCAACUUGACCAUGAAGAUGAACUGCAAACUGUAAGUCAAUAGUUUCUCAUUACUCUUGGGCACAUUGAUGUAUUUUGGCUUCCUGGUGAGUUAACCUGUUAGCUGAAGGUUGAUCUGAGUAUUAAGGAGGUUUCAUGGGUUACUUAGGUGUUUGGUUUAUGUUGGUUUUAAUGGUUUGUUACAAUGGUUACAGGCUCAAAGUUAUUGUUGUAAGCUGGAGUAAUGGGUUGGGUUCUGAUAUCUUCAGUCUUCUUUCCAGCUACUCUCCUGAGCUCUGCAUCUUCAUCACAUGAGUAUUGCUUUAUUUAUGAGGGUGUGGUCUGAGUGAGCAGAGGUGCAUACUGGGAUACAGAGUUGUCUGAAGUCUACAGGUCUGCAGGCACGCCCCCGCAGGGGAAACCGUGUGUUUGAGAAACGGUCGUGACAUCAGUUACAUGGACUAGAAUGUUCUUCAAGAUGGAGACGGAUUCAGAAGGAGAAACACCAGGGAGAGAUGAGGGGGCUCCUCAUCUCAACGACUAAAACACAACUUCAGUCUGACACAGAGAACCAUGGAACACAUUCAACAGUCCCCUCCAGGCAUCGUGACUCCUCAGGAACAGUUUCAUUUCCAGGAAGAUCUUUUUGGGGCCAUCCCCAUAUGGAUCCUGCGCCUCAAGAGCCACCCCCCUCCACUGGGUGGUCUUCUGAACAGAUGAUCUCCUUCCUGUCCUCAGGCUGACUAAAGCUGAACCGUUUGCAUCUGUGAAGGCCCCUCAUUCAGGAAACCACUGGACUACAAAGACAUGACUUCAGAGAUGUUGAAUCAACCUGGGACACAUUUUGGAGACGCCAAGCAUAAUCCAUCACCAAUGUGGGACGCCACUGAAGAAUGUUGUACAUAAUUUACGUCUCUGGAGACAUUGGUUGUUCUGUUAUGGGUGCCCUGGCAGGAGAGCUGGGGGGGGAUGAUGGAAUGUUAUUUGCUAUGAGGUUUUUACUCUGCAUGAUUGUUUGGCCUUUUAUGGCUCAGUGAUGUGUGUUGGGUUUGACAUGAGAUGGAAGAUUUUUGAGCAUCACUAGGGUUCUACUGUGUGUGUCUCCCCUCACACCUGGCAUGGGGUUGUGUGUGUGUGUGUGUGUGUGUGUGUGUGUGUGUGUGUGUGUGUGUGUGUGUGUGUGCGUGUGUGUGUGUGUGUGUGUGUGUGUGUGUGUGUGUGUGUGUGUGUGUGUGGGCUUGCUUUGACAGUGAUAAUGUUCAUACGGGGGUCUGUGUGAUUGGCUUGGGAUAUUGGAAUGGUCAACUAAAUCAUGCCUGAUGGACAGCCACACGUUUACUUAAGGGCCUCCGGUAGACAUGAAGAGCCCUGAGCGAUGCUCUGGAGCGAGAUCCAACACACUGGGCAGGAAGGAGAGUAUCCAACUCGAGUGUAAAAGGAUGCAAGCGGCGUGUUCAGAUCAGUGACAUCAAACUAGGACUACACCAAUCAGGAUCAAUGGAGGAUGGACACCAAAAGGAAUUCCACAAGGAGAGUCUGACGUUGGAAAGGGACCUAAAUGGAUAUUCAAGAUGACCUUCAGACCUGUAAUGAGACGGCUCUUCCUACCUGGUUGGAUUGAUGGAGAGCCCUCUGGAUCUUGUCUUGCUCUCAGUUGCACAUCUUCUCAGGCUGAACUGUAUUUGUUUCGGACAGGACUAGCUAUACGAUUGGUUCCCUUAAAUCAGAACCAAUCCGGGAACUCCAGCUAGUGCGCUCUUUGAGCUGAAGUUGUGCUCUUCAGCUGAGGAAAUAAGGAAACUUCACUGGGGCUUCAAGGUGUAAAGAGGAGGAUGUUUCAAAGUGUUCCAUGGUACUCUGAAGAAGACCGUUGUUGUGUUCCACUGGCUGCGAGGAAGAACCCACACAUCUUCCUCUUGGCAUUUCUCCUCUGAGAAUCCUGGCGCCAUCUUGAAGGAUAUUCCAGCUCAUGUAACUGAUGUCACGACAGAUUCUCAAACACUUGGUUUCUCCUGAGGGGCGUGUCUAUGGAACUGAAGACUUCAGGCAGCACUGUAUCCCAGCAUGCAUCUCUGCUCACUCAGACCACACCCCCAUGAGUAGGAUGCAACACUCUAGUGAUGGAGAUGUAUAGUUUUAUAAGUAGUGAGGGAGCAGACUAAAGUCAUUAGAACACAAUGGAAUGUCAAGUCUGUAAAUCCUUCAGCCAUGAAGAUGGUUGGAUAGUUCAGGAUUUGGGCUGCUUUUUAUUAUGGGCAGUCCUUUCACUCGGAUGCCCACUUCCCACUGGACUGUACAUGUGAUGGCUGGCUGGCAUGAUUUGCUGUUGGUGAUAAGGCGGUCAGGGUGAAUUUGCAGGGCUAUGGUCGGCUCUCUGUGAGCUCAACGUUUAGAUUUGCUCUGUAUGGUUUGUACCCUGAAUAAUCUAGAUAAUUGUAAAAAGUAGAGGUUUUGUAUUGAAUGAUUCCAGGAUUUUAGGUUUAAAGUUGUUGUGGGACGUACAUGGUAGUUUGGUUCUUCGUAUUGUUUUGAGUGAUAUAACUUGUACACACUGGGUGCAUAAUAAUGUAAAGGUACACUGAAUAGUAUUAAUGACCAACAGCAACAAACAGAUCUCCUCAAGGUAAGUCUGUUGGCUGUGUUUUAAUGAAGACCAUCGCUGGACUUCAGGAUCUUCCUCCGUUCAGCUCAAGGUGAGGCGCUGGUUCGGUUUUUUCUUUGGUUGGUUCCGGCCGGAAUGUUCGGAUUCCAGUCGGACGGGUUGUGCUUCCCGCCGUGGAAGGUUUUGAGUGCGGUCACUUGAUUUAGUCCCAAUGGUUAGCAUAGAACGUUGUAGUCUUGACAACCAUAAGAAACCUCCUGGCAGUUAGUCCCCUGAGGGACCUGGCGGAACGUUCUUGAUGUAUUUGAGUAACCUCGAGGCGGUGCCAACAAACUAUUUUUCAGUCGGUUUCCAUUGGGAAUUAUUGCCCCUAUCUUAAACAACUUAAGUUUGAUAUUAAAUACAUACCGAGACGUACGUUGUACAAUAUGCUGAUAAUUUCCGAUGGUUGCGCCGUACUUUUAACCACGAUGACGUUGCGGGACUCUCAUUGCGUACAAAACAGCGUUCUACUUGCGGGCCCAUAUUUGACAUCGGGGAAGGCUGAAAAUCAUUUCAUGGUGGAAGAUAAUUUGACAUUUCUUCAACGGAACCCAGCACCUGAAUAUGGCUGAGUAUAUUUGAUUUAAUAUCAAUACUGCUUAGUGUUCUUUGUUACUUCAGCUUUUGUAUGUUCUAAAUAUCUGCUGUCAUUAAUUGCCACAGAAGUUAAACCCUACCCAAUGGAAUGACGUUAAACAACGACUUUGGUGCAGAGUUACCAACUGGAUGAUAUCAAAGCUAAAAUAAUGGCCGUCAUUCCCACAUGUUACAGUAGAAGAUACUCUAGAACUGUACAAGGUUAAAAAGGUAACAUGUAGUUUGUCCCAAGGUGUCUGCCUCCUCACCCAGAGCAAGACCUCCACCUCCUCACCCAGCGCCAGACCUCCACCUCCUGUCAGAAGUCCUCCAGAACAGCUGAAAGGCGAGGCUGAGAGGCUGGGGACCGGAGGCUUGUGGUGCCAGGGUGGACCGGAGACUGAGGCUGGAGACCAGGGGCCUGCAGCACCGGACCAGAGGACCAGGAAUCCAUGGCUGAAGGAGCUGAUGGAGGAGCCGUGCUGAAGGCCCUGGGCUGGUGGAGGAGCUGGUGGAGGGCCUGCCUGGUGAAUGACGUCUGUCGUGGGACCAGGACUCUGUCUGAGGAGAGCUGCUGGAGGAGCUGAGACACUGGAGGACGACGAGGAAUCGACCAACAAGGAUUCCUCAACGUGUUUCUGGAGCGGAGGCGAGCUGGUAGGGCAGCCGUGACUCUGGAGGAGGACCAUCACUCUACCAACAAGGGUUACUCGCGGCGUUUGUUCCAGACCAGGACUCUGGCUGAGGAGAGCUGAUGGAGGAGCCAAGACUCUGGAGGACGACAUCACUCCACCAACCAGGAUCCUCACCAGGAAUCUGGAGGACUGAUGGAGAAGCCAUACAUCUGGAAGGCAAAUCCUGAGGACCACCAAGACACAUACCAUCAAGGAUUCCUCAUAAAUGUGCAUUAUCUGGACAUAGUGGACUAGACACACCUGAGCUGAACCUCACCUGAUCCUGUUUGGUCGGGGGUAGACGCACCUGAGCUAAACCCGCCCUGAUCCUGACAUCCUGCUGGUCCCGUCUCCUCAGUUCAUCUGAGCCUCGUCCUCCAGAAGACCUGCUGAGCUCAGUAGUCUGAGGCUGAUGGAUCAAUGACCUCCACUGGGAGUGAUCUUCUUGACCCACCAUAUAACUGUGUGCUUCCACACGCCUUUCUCUCACGUCUGUCACUAACCUCACUACUUCACUACUCUCUACUGCUUCCUCUUUCCUUCUUUCUCUGUGGUUCAAACCUUUACACUGAAGGCGCGUCUUCCUGCCCUCAGAGGGUUUAGCGUUAGGGUUGAGAGUCAGGGUUUAGAGUCAGGGACAGAGCUGGUCAGGGAGGACUGCUUUUACACAAACUUCUUCACUUGCUUUCGGAAUGUGGUGUCAUUUUGCAACUAAACUAAACAAACUGGAAAUAAAGGGCUUAAAAAUAAGACAAACUACAUGUUUGUUACCAGACUCGCGCCAUUUGUUCCAGACCAGGACUCUGGCUGAGGAGAGCUGAUGGAGGAGCCAAGACUCUGGAGGACGACAUCACUCCACCAACCAGGAUCCUCACCAGGAAUCUGGAGGACUGAUGGAGAAGCCAUACAUCUGGAAGGCAAAUCCUGAGGACCACCAAGACUCUACCAUCAAGGAUUCCUCAUAAAUGUGCAUCAUCUGGACAUAGUGGACUAGACACACCUGAGCUGAACCUCACCUGAUCCUGUUUGGUCGGGGGUAGACGCACCUGAGCUAAACCCGCCCUGAUCCUGACAUCCUGCUGGUCCCUUCUCCUCAGUUCAUCUGAGCCUCGUCCUCCAGAAGACCUGCUGAGCUCAGCAGUCUGAGGCUGAUGGAUCAAUGACCUCCAGUGGGAGUGAUCUUCUUGAACCACCAUAUAACCGUGUGCUUCCACACGCCUUUCCCUCACGUCUGUCACUAACCUCACUACUUCACUACUCUCUACUGCUUCCUCUUUCCUUCUUUCUCUGUGGUUCAAACUUUUACACUGAAGGCGCGUCUUCCAGCCCUCAGAGGGUUGAGAGUCAGGGUUGAGAGUCAGGGACAGAGCUAGUCAGGGAGGACUGCUUUUACACAAACUUCUUCACUUGCUUUCGGAAUGGUGGUGUCAUUUUGCAAAGAUUCAUUUGGGAAAAUGUUUUCCUCUGCUUUCCUUUACAAAAUUGUAUUAAAAUUCUGUCAAGUGUUUUUGUUUAUAUAUUAAAAUCCCACAUUGACUUCUACAUGUUUGUUGCGGUUCAUUUAAUUGUCCUUUAACUUGGUUAAUGUCAAGCUAAACUCCUGCAAUACAUUUAAUAUGCAUGAUUGUUAUUCUGCAAUGUUCACAUAAUCCAUUUUGUAAAAAUAUGAAGCCUCCAUAUUACUACUAAAUUCAAG
ensembl:lncRNA